UCCUACUCCUCCGCCAUCUUGUCCUCUCUCCUGCCUACAUCUUUCUCGUUCCCUUUCUUCUUCUCCAAAUAUUGAGUGCUUAUUGUGUGCACUGAUCUAGCUGUGUCCAUGAACAAAAUGAAGUUCCUACCUGGGUCUUGUCUUUUAAGCUGCUGUCCUUGUGGGAUGCGGGAGAAUAUUUUUUAGCACCUACUUGUGAAUGAUCCUAUCCAUAGAUAAAGAAACAUGAGACAUUAAAGAAUAUAAAGACCCCAUCUAUGAAGACAAAAAGAAGACCAAUAUAAACUCAGGGAUGAAGCCAGGGGUAAAUGACAAGGAAGCAGCUGGAAACCCUGGAGUUUUGCAUAUUCAUGGGGAUGGAAGACUGUCUCACUUGAUCUGGCAAAUCUGAGGCAAAGCCCUGGACCCAAACCCUGUAUCCUCAAGAGACUGCCAACAGGAGCAUCAGGUGCACUGCAAAGCAGCCAGCCUAGAACAAGAGCCCUCUGGGACCGAAGUGCAUAGCAACAAACAUCCAGCCUACCAGAGAGUAGCAUUUAUUCUGCACUGUCCUACAGAGAGCUAAGAGAUUACAAACUUCUUGUGAAGCCAGGUAAUUCAGCUAAAUAUUUUUGUCAUUCGUGAUAUUCUCUGACACAUUUUCUCCUUAACGUUUGCAACUACACCUAAUAUAUUGAAUGCUUGUUAUGUAACAGUCAUUUUGCAUUCAUUGUCUGACAAUUCUCAUAACAAUGCUAUAAAAUACUUAUUUUUAGAAUUCCUUGUUUAUGGAUGAAAUAACUGAGACUGGAGAGAUUAAGCAAUUUGCCCAAGGACUUGCAAGGUGGAAAGUAUAUAGAACCAGAAUUAGAAUCUUGCAUCUCUAGGACCUGCCUUCAAAAUCAUGAUGGCGCCUAGGUUUUUCUAUGACCUUCUUUUAAUUUCCAAAUAUUUACUUAUUACCUUAUUUCCCUUCAUUUUGGGAUACUACCUGCUCUCUGACUCUCUACACAAGGGGAGAACAACACACACACACAUACCAUGCAACUGUCCUUAACCCUGGGCUCAGUUGAUGCCAGACAAAUACUCUAGGAGGGCAAUAAUUUCCUAUGUCUGAACUUGGAAAGAUAUGAGCCAUGGAUCUCGCCUCUAUUUAACCAUAAUCUAAAGGGAAAUUUCAAGAUAUGCCCACUGGAAAAAAAAGAGUCUUUUUGAGUUUUCUCUGAAGGACUUGGCAAAAAUCCAAAUACUUGAAUUUAUUUUAUGUUUCCAUUCUGAGACUAUGAAAUGCUUUUAACUGUCUGAUAAAUUUUACUCUAAUGGAGAACAGUAGGGAGGUUCUCCACCUCCUGGGAAUCACUUGAAAAACUCACUGAAGCUGUUUAUCCAUGAAGUGAGUUUAAGAAACAAACCUGGAAAGUGCCACAGGUCCAGCCCAUCUCCCUUCAGAGGCACUGGCAGGCCAUGCACUGUGCUGACAGAGAAAGUAGCAGCCCACACAACUUCACAGCAAAUUCUCAAAUGAAUUUUACAUUUACACUGUAACCAGAAAAAUGGAGAAAGGCAAAAAAGAAUUAAACAGCUUUUGCCUGGCCUCUCUAAUACCUUUUUAACAUGAAUGUUCAUAGGCUUGUUUAGCUAUCAAAGCAGACAGUGUGUGCUGGGUUUUAUCUUAAAGGAUAAAACAAAAAAUAAUAUGCUUGGGGGAAAAAAAUCUUCCAGCAAAUGUAUCUCCCCUUAAUGCUUUUAACUCUGUAGAAAUGCUAGGAAUCCAUAUAGAAUUAUCAAAGAAUCGUGAAGGAAGAAUGUAUAUUUACAUGAAUAAGGAUUUAAGAUGUCUCCAUUCACACUUUAAAAAAAAAUAAAUAAGCAGGGACUCCUAGCAGUUCUCAGUUGACGGAUACAUUGUUUAAUCACAAUUUGGGCCAAAAAAAAUCCUCUAAAUUAAUUCUUCCUCUUGCUGUAAAUUAAGCUCCCUGCUUCUCUAUCAAUCCCCUGUAGAAAUGAAGGAUAAUUGAAUACAAUCCUUUUCAUAAUUCCCUUUCAUAUGCUUGAAAAGUUCUGAAACUUCUCCAUCCUGCUAAAAAAAACCUCUCAACAUACUGACUCAUAGAAUCUUUUUUCUCAAUGCGAGUUAUUAUAUUCCAUAUGUAUUCUUGACUCUCUUUCCCUGCCUUAGAAAUUCUUAGAAACCAAAGAUCAAAUUAGAACAAUUCCCUAAUAAAAAGUCGAAUAGGAGUUCCCGUCGUGGCUCAGUGGUUAACGAAUUCGACUAGGAGCCAUGAGGUCACGGGUUCGAUCC